rnacentral:rRNA from 1 species
AGUGAACGCUGGCGGUAGGCCUAACACAUGCAAGUCGAACGGCAGCACAGUAAGAGCUUGCUCUUACGGGUGGCGAGUGGCGGACGGGUGAGGAAUACAUCGGAAUCUACUUUUUCGUGAGGGAUAACGUAGGGAAACUUACGCUAAUACCGCAUACGACCUACGGGUGAAAGCAGGGGAUCUUCGGACCUUGCGCGUUUGAAUGAGCCGAUGUCGGAUUAGCUAGUUGGCGGGGGAAAGGCCCACCAAGGCGACGAUCCGUAGCUGGUCUGAGAGGAUGAUCAGCCACACUGGAACUGAGACACGGUCCAGACUCCUACGGGAGGCAGCAGUGGGGAAUAUUGGACAAUGGGCGCAAGCCUGAUCCAGCCAUACCGCGUGGGUGAAGAAGGCCUUCGGGUUGUAAAGCCCUUUUGUUGGGAAAGAAAAGCAGCAGGUUAAUACCCCGCUGUUCUGACGGUACCCAAAGAAUAAGCACCGGCUAACUUCGUG